rnacentral:tRNA from 1 species
GCUGGUAUGGCUCAGUCGGUAGAGCAGCUGACAUGUAAUCAGCAGCUUGGGGUUCGAGCCCCAUUACCAGCU